rnacentral:snRNA from 1 species
GGAUAAGGAGUGUUUAGACAAU